GACGAACGCUGGCGGCGUGCUUAACACAUGCAAGUCGAACGAUGAAGCUGGAGCUUGCUCCGGUGGAUUAGUGGCGAACGGGUGAGUAACACGUGAGAAAUCUGCCCUUGACUCUGGGAUAACUGCGGGAAACUGCAGCUAAUACCGGAUACUAUCCUCGGUGGGAAUCCACGGGGGAAGAAAGAAUUUCGGUCAAGGAUGAUCUCGCGGCCUAUCAGCUAGUUGGGGGGGUAAUGGCUCACCAAGGCGACGACGGGUAGCCGGCCUGAGAGGGUGACCGGCCACACUGGGACUGAGACACGGCCCAGACUCCUACGGGGGGCAGCAGUGGGGAAUAUUGCACAAUGGGCGCAAGCCUGAUGCAGCAACGCCGCGUGAGGGAUGAAGGCCUUCGGGUUGUAAACCUCUUUUAGCAGGGAAGAAGCGAAAGUGACGGUACCUGCAGAAAAAGCACCGGCUAACUACGUGCCAGCCGCCGCUGUAA
rnacentral:rRNA from 1 species